rnacentral:rRNA from 1 species
GAUGAACGCUGGCGGCGUGCCUAAUACAUGCAAGUCGAGCGAACAGAUGAGGAGCUUGCUCCUCUGACGUUAGCGGCGGACGGGUGAGUAACACGUGGAUAACCUACCUAUAAGACUGGGAUAACUUCGGGAAACCGGAGCUAAUACCGGAUAAUAUAUUGAACCGCAUGGUUCAAUAGUGAAAGACGGUUUUGCUGUCACUUAUAGAUGGAUCCGCGCCGCAUUAGCUAGUUGGUAAGGUAACGGCUUACCAAGGCAACGAUGCGUAGCCGACCUGAGAGGGUGAUCGGCCACACUGGAACUGAGACACGGUCCAGACUCCUACGGGAGGCAGCAGUAGGGAAUCUUCCGCAAUGGGCGAAAGCUUGACGGAGCAACGCCGCGUGAGUGAUGAAGGUCUUCGGAUCGUAAAACUCUGUUAUUAGGGAAGAACAAAUGUGUAAGUAACUAUGCACGUCUUGACGGUAUCUAAUCAGAAAGCCACGGCUAACUACGUG